rnacentral:lncRNA from 1 species
GGGAGAAGGGAGGAAGGGAGGGAGGAAGGGAGAAAGUCUUCUGGAGGAGUGGAGUGGGAAAGACAACCUGAAUAGAAGACUUGGAAAUUGGAAUUGACGGGAAAGGAAGCACUGACAGCCUUUUUAAGUAGGAGAACUCCACGCCUGGCAGAGGAGACUUAGCAAUGCUAAUGGAACUUGAAUUGAAUGAACAGGCUCGAUGAAGCUAAGCAGAAUGAACCAAUGGAUUACAGUGGCUCAAUUUCCUCAAAGAUAGGUUAGAAAGUUUUGUGUCAGAAAAGAGAGGAAGGCAUGGCAGUGAGGACUUGAUGUGGGGUUGGACAGCGCUCUACUAGCACACCGAGGAGGGAUACCUCGCCUCCUCCCUUUGCCCCGUAGCCCAGCUGCCUGACCAACCCAUGGCUGAGAACAUGGAGGCAAGAGCGACAGAAUUCUGUUGUCAGUAGGAAUGGGUCCCAAGC